UCGCGGCGCAGGAAGUGGGCUCUCGGCUCCGCUUCAUUCUUUUCCCCUGAGCCAGGCGUCUUCGCGCCUUUAUCAAAGUUAUUUUUACGCGUUGAGAAAUUUUCAAGUGAGCACUUGUGCGGUGGCACCUUCUCCUUGUCGCGGUUGGGCCUUGAAGAAAUUCCCCGGCUUAUUUAUAGCCCGUGUUUAUUUUUACUCAAGUCCUGAACUUGAGCCUCUAGAAGUAGUCUGAGCGGCGGCAGAUCGGGAGGGAAUCCUGGCUUUGCGACCACGGAUCCAGUAACUGGGUCUGUUCUGUGACCUGGGGGAGCCCCCGCGGGGCCGAGAAGAGGGACAGACCCAAGUUCAGUGCCGGGCUAGGGGCGCUGCCGGAGACCCCGUGCAGGCAAAGAGCGACCUUGGCCAUCCAGCCCCUCCCGCAGUGCCCUUUAAUCUCAACCCCCCACUCCAGGUGCAAAAUCAGACCGCCCUCGUCCUCCCUUACUGGUUGUUCCCUUCUGAGAUCGGAUCAGUGGCAUCAGACUUUUGAGGAAAGUGAUGACUUAGGUUUCUCUUGACCCUGAAGCUCAGACUUACACAUCCUCUUAGUCUCUUGGGAGCUCCAUGCGGUGACGUGGAGCCCUUCACAGAAACAGGAGAUGGGAAGAGUACGUUUAAUGUGAUUUCAAAAACAUUGGGCUUUUGGAAGGAAACAUUCUAAAUAAGCAUUGCUCUUCAUGGUCCUAGACAUGAACAGAUGCCGGUCUCAGCAUCCGUUAAAAUUCAUCAACAACAGGACUGCAGAAGGUGGCCGGAUCUGGAGUUGAUGCUUUCUGUCCAGAACAGACAGGACUGGCUGUGCAGAGGUGUCAUGGGAUGAAGGCACCUGAAGGUCCCCUCUAUUCACAGGGGUUCUAAAACCGAGCUUCUCAGGAAACCUAGAAAUAAGAUAUUUUUUCCUCCUAAAUGAUUUUUAAUAAUGGCAGUCACAUCAACCAUAAUUUAUUUCAACCUCACUAGUUGCAAGUAUGUAAUAAUUUACCUACCUGUUGUAAAGGAAGUUUUGCUGAGCAAGAAAGAUCAGAGGGAAAACAUCUAAUUUAUGUAACAGAAAAACAUGUUUGUCUUGAUUUUAGAAGCCCUCAUUUGUAUAUUAUUAAUUUAAUGUUGAUUUAAAUGAUCCUUCUCUGUUCCCUAAAUAAAUCUGCCAGUGUCUUCAGGGGGCAAGAUUC